UACGUAGGGUGCGAGCGUUAAUCGGAAUUACUGGGCGUAAAGUGUGCGCAGGUGGCCGCGCAAGUCGAGUGUGAAAUCCCCGAGCUUAACUUGGGAAUUGCGCUCGAAACUACGCGGCUAGAGUGUGGCAGAGGGAGGUGGAAUUCCACGUGUAGCGGUGAAAUGCGUAGAGAUGUGGAGGAACACCAAUGGCGAAGGCAGCCUCCUGGGCCAACACUGACACUCAUGCACGAAAGCGUGGGGAGCAAACAGG
rnacentral:rRNA from 1 species